GUUUUCACGACUGUUCUGUUGCUGUAACCACUAUGGAUGUGAAUGCUGUGGUGAUAAAGGCUUGCUAUUUUCUCAUACUGGAUUCCUCAAAUCCAAGAGCUACUCAGCAGUUUCCAAGGCAACCACCUGUGGAAUAAUUAAAAAGGAUGAAGUGUUAGUGUGCCAGAUGCACGGAAUUCUUGCCUGGAGAGAGCACUUCGUUUUCAGCUGUUUUGAAGAAUCAAAUGUGAUUCUGCCAGCACAGUUCAGAGGAAGAAAUGAUGGCUGAGUUGUUGUACAAGCAUCCAGGGACAGUUCAAAAAGUGACUCAAAGCAGGAGGAGCAGAUGUCUGCGGCGUCCGCUGGUGUGACUGCAGCCUUAGGAGAUGAGUUUUGGAAUCCCCAUCAAAGUCAGGAUUAGGCUCAGGAUCCUCCAGCAGCGCCGAGCCCGCCGGGGGAGUGCAGAGGAAGAGGAAACCAUUCACAGCGACUCAUCGUGUGGUUGGGUGAUUCAGGGGUCUGCUGGUGACGGUCACAGAGGCACGUGGCUCGCUGCACCGUCUUUGUCUGCUGUGCAGGAUGCAAACGGUCUCCGAACAUUAAUUCUGCCCUUUUGAUUUUUGUCCGGUGAAUUAUUUCCAGAAAGGAAUUACUGUGUUUUCUGGAAUGAGUGUUGUGAAAUUCUUUUCUUUACAGUGGGCGAGUUUUCAGCUGGUGAUUUAUCAACCAAGUAUUUUACGGGAUCGCAGUUAAAGGCUCUUCUAUAAAAAAAAAAAAAAUACCCGGUGUGAUAGGGAAAGUAAAAGUGUCUUGGUUUCCAAAUGAUGGAGGAAUAACCGAAAGAGCGAGUUCUUGGAAUAGUAGCUCCAUUGGCACUCGUUGGUGAUUUCCUGCGCGUUUGCUGAAAGAAGCACUUGGUGAUGUGAGUAGGUGGUACUAAAGGGUUAUUACGAAACCAAUUUCAACCAGACAUUUGAGUCAUGGAUUGGGAAGAAGGAGAGCAGCUUCCAAGCUUUCUCUUUGUUCGAGCUGAGCACAUGAGAGGCACAGGCAGGAUAUUCUGUGUUGGUGUGGAGAAGGAUGGAGCAGGAGCUGGUCUGGCAUUCGAUGAUGCUCUCUUCCUCGUGCCACCGUGUGCUGCAGUGGGCAGUGAGGAUGUGGGCUGCAGGAGCUGGCAGCAGCACGUAAGGUGCAUGCGGAGCACUUCCCUGCCUGUGGCUCGAUUUGAAAAUAUUCAGAAGACAUCUGUGAGCGUACGGGUAGGACUAGCACAGGAGAGGUGCUUCUGGUACCUGCUGCAUGCUGCAUGGAUUUUGUGCCAGGAAGGAGCUGAGGUGCUGACUGCUCAGCAACACCUAAGCUUGAUUUCUGAUCCUUUUCCUGAUAAUGCAGUGGUGCUGAUCUCUGCAAGUGCCUUCCCUAUGCCAAAGAAAGAACAUGUUUUUGAUGGAAAACCUACUUUUAAAUGAGUACAAACGAUUGAGGACAACCCUUUCUUGUUCAUAAUGGAUUGCUCAGAAAAAAAGACAAUUGGACAUGGUAGAAGCUGUUUUUUUCCUAAG
ensembl:lncRNA